UACGGAGGAUGCAAGCGUUAUCCGGAUUCAUUGGGUUUAAAGGGUGCGCAGGCGGAGUGUUAAGUCAGUGGUGAAAUCUCUCGGCUCAACCGAGAAACUGCCAUUGAUACUGACAUUCUUGAGUAUUGUUGAGGUAGGCGGAAUGUGUCAUGUAGCGGUGAAAUGCUUAGAUAUGACACAGAACACCGAUCGCGAAGGCAGCUUACCAAGCAAUAACUGACGCUCAUGCACGAAAGCGUGGGGAUCAAACAGG
rnacentral:rRNA from 1 species